AGAGAUUGAACAUAAGAGUUUGAUCCUGGCUCAGAUUGAACGCUGGCGGCAUGCUUUACACAUGCAAGUCGGACGGCAGCACAAAGAAGCUUGCUUCUUGGGUGGCGAGUGGCGAACGGGUGAGUAACGCAUCGGAACGUACCGAGUAGUGGGGGAUAACUGUCCGAAAGGAUGGCUAAUACCGCAUACGCUUUGAGAAGGAAAGCGGGGGAUCUUCGGACCUCGCGCUAUUCGAGCGGCCGAUGUCUGAUUAGCUGGUUGGUGGGGUAAAGGCCUACCAAGGCGACGAUCAGUAGCGGGUCUGAGAGGAUGAUCCGCCACACUGGGACUGAGACACGGCCCAGACUCCUACGGGAGGCAGCAGUGGGGAAUUUUGGACAAUGGGCGCAAGCCUGAUCCAGCCAUGCCGCGUGUCUGAAGAAGGCCUUCGGGUUGUAAAGGACUUUUGUCAGGGAAGAAAAGCUUGAGGCUAAUACCCUUGAGUGAUGACGGUACCUGAAGAAUAAGCACCGGCUAACUACGUGCCAGCAGCCGCGGUAAUACGUAGGGUGCGAGCGUUAAUCGGAAUUACUGGGCGUAAAGCGGGCGCAGACGGUUACUUAAGUCAGAUGUGAAAUCCCCGGGCUCAACCUGGGAACUGCGUUUGAAACUGGGUGGCUAGAGUAUGUCAGAGGGGGGUAGAAUUCCACGUGUAGCAGUGAAAUGCGUAGAGAUGUGGAGGAAUACCGAUGGCGAAGGCAGCCCCCUGGGAUAAUACUGACGUUCAUGCCCGAAAGCGUGGGUAGCAAACAGGAUUAGAUACCCUGGUAGUCCACGCCCUAAACGAUGUCAAUUAGCUGUUGGGGCACUUGAUGCCUUAGUAGCGUAGCUAACGCGUGAAAUUGACCGCCUGGGGAGUACGGUCGCAAGAUUAAAACUCAAAGGAAUUGACGGGGACCCGCACAAGCGGUGGAUGAUGUGGAUUAAUUCGAUGCAACGCGAAGAACCUUACCUGGUCUUGACAUGUACGGAAUCCUCCAGAGACGGAGGAGUGCCUUCGGGAGCCGUAACACAGGUGCUGCAUGGCUGUCGUCAGCUCGUGUCGUGAGAUGUUGGGUUAAGUCCCGCAACGAGCGCAACCCUUGUCAUUAGUUGCCAUCAUUAAGUUGGGCACUCUAAUGAGACUGCCGGUGACAAGCCGGAGGAAGGUGGGGAUGACGUCAAGUCCUCAUGGCCCUUAUGACCAGGGCUUCACACGUCAUACAAUGGUCGGUACAGAGGGUAGCCAAGCCGCGAGGUGGAGCCAAUCCCACAAAACCGAUCGUAGUCCGGAUUGCACUCUGCAACUCGAGUGCAUGAAGUCGGAAUCGCUAGUAAUCGCAGGUCAGCAUACUGCGGUGAAUACGUUCCCGGGUCUUGUACACACCGCCCGUCACACCAUGGGAGUGGGGGAUACCAGAAGUAGGUAGGGUAACCGCAAGGAGCCCGCUUACCACGGUAUGCUUCAUGACUGGGGUGAAGUCGUAACAAGGUAGCCGUAGGGGAACCUGCGGCUGGAUCACCUCCUUUCUA
rnacentral:rRNA from 1 species